ACGCAGCCUGAUGACCGUCUCGCGUGCAAGACGACGGCCCUCUGGGUUGUAAGCUGCUUUUAUACGGAAGAAAAUACAGGACGAGUCCUGGUCUGACGGUACUGUAUGAAUAACCAUCGGCUAACUCCGUGCCAGCAGCCGCGGUAAUACGGAGGAUGCAAACUUUAUCCGGAUUCAUUGGGUUUAAAGGGUGCGUAGGCGGCUUUUUAAGUCAGUGGUGAAAUCUUGCCGCUUAACGGUAAAAUUGCCAUUGAUACUGACAAGCUUGACUACAGUUGAUGUAAGCGGAAUGUGUAGUGUAGCGGUGAAAUGCUUAAAUAUUACACACAACACCGAUUGCGAAGGCAGCUUACUAAACUGUUACUGACGCUGAUGCACAAAAGCGUGGGGAGCGAACAGGAUUAGAUACCCUGGUAGUCCACGCCGUAAACGAUGAUCACUCGCUGUAUGCGAUACACAGUAUGCGGCCAAGCGAAAGCAUUAAGUGAUCCACCUGGGGAGUACGAUCGCAAGGUUGAAACUCAAAGGAAUUGACG
rnacentral:rRNA from 1 species